GGGCGCGUAGCUCAGUUGGUAAGAGUGUCGCUUUGACAUAGCGGAGGUCACAGGUUCAACUCCUGUCGCGCCCACUA
rnacentral:tRNA from 1 species